rnacentral:rRNA from 1 species
GAUGAACGCUGGCGGCGUGCCUAAUACAUGCAAGUCGAGCGACCAGACGAGGAGCUUGCUCCUCUGACGUUAGCGGCGGACGGGUGAGUAACACGUGGAUAACCUACCUAUAAGACUGGGAUAACUUCGGGAAACCGGAGCUAAUACCGGAUAAUAUAUUGAACCGCAUGGUUCAAUAGUGAAAGACGGUUUUGCUGUCACUUAUAGAUGGAUUCGCGCCGAAUUAGCUAGUUGGUAAGGUAACGGCUUACCAAGGCGACGAUGCGUAGCCGACCUGAGAGGAUGAUCGGCCACACUGGAACUGAGACACGGUCCAGACUCCUACGGGAGGCAGCAGUAGGGAAUCUUCCGCAAUGGGCGAAAGCCUGACGGAGCAACGCCGCGUGAGUGAUGAAGGUCUUCGGAUCGUAAAACUCUGUUAUUAGGGAAGAACAAAUGUGUAAGUAACUAUGCACGUCUUGACGGUACCUAAUCAGAAAGCCACGGCUAACUACGUG